ensembl:lncRNA
CUCGAGCUCAGAGCGGGAGCGGCCAGGAACCCGGGCUUCUGCUGCGGAAGGCUCGGUGCUCCGCGUCAGGGCCCGGGAGGGGGACCUUCAUACAGCCAGAUACCCAGAAUUGGGGGAUCCCAGGUCCCAGACGGCGGGGGACACGUCUGGAUAAGUAUUCCGAACGACUGAGCUGCUCAUCGAUUUUCAACUUUUGAAAAGGAAUCUGAAUAAAGGAAAUGUGAGGGAGAGAUCUGGAGAAACUCACUUCUAAGUUCACGACCACAGUUGACUGCUGGGCAACAGGCGUCAUAAAUCAGCCAGGUAACAGGAAGCCUCUCUGGGACCUGAGGAGAGGAUGAGGAUGGAUUAUUGACAGUUGGCAUCAGAAGGUGGUCUCCGUUUGCUGCUUUGUAAGUGGUCCUGCCAUCGCAGGGGGCAUCCAGUGUUUCUCUCCUGCAUGAAGACUGGCACCGGGCAGUCCAUGUAUCGGGGCAGUGAAACAAUCUCGCAUGAAGGGCAGCACGUUGUCCGUGGGCCGUGCCAGCCCCAGGAAACAGUGCUGCCUUUGAGACACACAAAGAGCCACUGUCUUUGCCUCUUUUUUUCUUCUUCAAAAACUGUUAAGAGUCCAAAACUCGCUGCGGAGAUAACAAAGGCUCCUCGCAGCCCGAGCAGAAGGCUGCAAUCAUUUCACCUGUGGAGUCCCAGCCAAAACCAGCCCACAGGACACAGCCCGAAAGAUUGAAGUAGUCACACAUCCUUUUCACCUGGACUGUAAUCUGAAAAGAAAUGAAGGUUUGCCGAAGAAAACCAAAUAUCCCUUCCUUUCUCAGCUUCUGUUGGUACUGGAUCGCCCUGUCCUCAUCAACAGAGCAAAUCAGCUCCCAUGUGCCAGGAUGUUUUCCUUGAUGCUUUCAUUAUAUCCACUCGGUAUCCAAGCUUUAGGGAUUAUUUUCAGCAAAGACUAAGUGACCAUCCAGGAAGCAGGUCCUGCAUUACAUGAGAGGUAGAACUGGCUGAGCGCUGAGAUCCCUUCCUGGUAAUUAGAAGGCUGGGAGAGGGAACAUAAAAUUCAUUCAAGUCUGUGGUCACCCAGUAGUCACAUCAAUACACGAAUGGCUCAAAUGUAGGCAGCACUGCCAAGGAUUCGAGUGCAGAGGGCAAGGGGGUUAGGAGAGAACAGAGGGAAGAGGGAGGCUCAGAGACGAGGCUGCAGUUAAGAAGGAAAUUGACUUCAGUCUACGCUGGGCACUUGCUCUGUUUCGGGCAGGGGCUGACGACACAGAGAUGAGAUUUCAAUUGCUUUCAGAUGAGCAGUGAAAGGAGACUUGUACCCAGGCUAUUCCAAUGCCAUAGAAUGGAUGCCAUGGUACUUCUGUGCUGGGCAGGGAGCACUUCUUGAAUGAAGUGAUGAGUGAGCGUAAGCUUAAGAAUGAAUACACCUGGUUUACGUUGGGAGGAGGGCGUGGACGAUAUUGCAUGCGGAAAGGAUGGCAAAGUCAAAGCGGUAAAGCCGGAGAGAACACGGCAGACCGGAUGAGUUGCAGGUGGAUCCUUGGCCGGGCUGGCGUAGAGGGCACCUGUGAAAAGACGGCAAGAGAAGUUUUGGGAAAUAAGUGGCUACCAGACUGUGGAAAUCUCUCCUGCUAUGGAUAGAUAACAGGAGGGAAUUUAUUCUUGCUAUUGAGAAAAAUAGGGGUCCCCGAUCCAUGGGGAAGUAGAGUUGCUUCCUGGCAGUGACCUAGGGAGUGGACAAGACUUCAGAGAGAGGAAGAGAUUCUAGGCAGUGGACUUCCCAGCCUAAUCACAGAUUCUCUCACCUCCCAUACCGAUGAAGAAUGCUGCCUGCCCCAUUAGUAAACAAAGGAUGUUUUGGCCAGCAGGCCAUCAGCCAGGGUAGCCUCUAGACUGUGCACUCUGAGGGGAUUCAGGAUAGAGAAAAACAGGAGACCGGCCCUAGAGAGUUCAGGUGCAUAUCAAAAGAAUGAUUUCAAUGAGCCCAGAUUCUUGCAUAUUCCCAUACACUGAAAAGUGCUAAAUUCGGUUACUUGAGAUUAUUUUGGUAUUUUGUUUUCUUGGUUUUUUGGGGUUUUUUUUAGGGCCUCAUCCAAGGUAUAUGGAGGUUCCCAGGCUAGGGGUCAGUUUGGAGCUGCAUCUGCCAGCCUAUUACCACAGCUCAUGGCAACGACGGAUCCUUAACCCACUGAGCGAGGCCAGUGAUUGAACCCACAUCCUCAUGGAUACUUGUUGGAUUUGUUUCUGCUGUGCCACCACAGGAACUCCUUCUUGGUGGUUUUUUAAUUGACAGUAACCCUUUGAUAUUUCGACUACUGGUUUUUUGUUGCAAAACCUCCUGCUUCUUCCUCACCGCUUUGGAAAGUCCUUCAGAGCUAUCCGAGAGGCUGUCCCAGGCUUAAGUCUAUUGAAUGAAACAUAAUUCUCAACUUACAGGUUGUGUUUUUUCUCCUCCAGUCCAGACAAGUGUGGCAGGAGAAUGACUGAAGGGCUGAUGUGACAACUCAAAGAUAGACCAGAAUCCCUUACUUCUCACCUCCGGCUACAUCCUAGAAGCAUAUAAGGUGCUGGAGCUCUGGGGAUGGAGGGAAAAAAGGUCCAAAAAGAUCCAAAGUUAAAUUUCUAAGUAACCCAGAGGCUUAGGGCUCAGAGAAAAUGUGAUUGAAAAAUAAAUUAUAUAUUACAAUUUGUGAAUUGAGAUUUAUACCUACUACACAGAUUAUCUCAUUUAAGCCACACAAUAACUUAUUUGUGAGGUACUAUUAUCCCUAGUUUACAGUUAGUAAAGCACAGAGACUACAUAAAGAAUGAGAACAUGGGAGUUCCCAUCAUGGCUCAGCAGAAAUGAAUCGGACUAGAAACCAGGAGGUUGCGGGUUCCAUCCCUGGCCUCUCUCAGUGGGUUAAGGAUCUGGCGUUACCGUGAGCUGUGGUGUAGGUCGAAGACACAGCUUGGAUCUGGCAUUGCUGUGGCUGUGGUGCAGGCCAGCAGCUGUAGCUCCAAUUAGACCCCUAGCCUGGGAACCUCCAAAUGCCGUGGGUAUGGCCCUAAAAAGACAAAAAAAAA